rnacentral:rRNA from 1 species
UACGAAGGGUGCAAACGUUGCUCGGAAUCAUUGGGCGUAAAGCGCACGUAGGCGGCUCCAAAAGUCGGAUGUGAAAUCCCUGGGCUCAACCGAGGAAGUGCAUCCGAAAACUGCGGAGCUUGAGUAUGGAAAGAGGGUCGCGGAAUUCCCGGUGUAGAGGUGAAAAUUCGUAGAUAUCGGGGAGGAACACCAGUGGCGAAGGCGGCGACCUGGGUAGAUACUGACGCUGAGGUGCGAAAAGCGUGGGGAGCAAACAGG